UUUUAUAAAAGGUUUUUUUUUCUUUUUCGACGAACUUUAAUAUUGGAGCAAAACCCCAAAAUAUUGGAGCGUGCUAUAUUACCCUCCCCUAGAGCCCCGCCUGCCCUUUCUACUUCCUCUUCUCACCGGCCAUCUCCCGUCCAGCAGCUCAGAGUUUUUACCCUAAAUAAGUUUCCCUUUGAGCAAACAAUGGGCACAACAAAUAUAAGGGACAUUUUGACUUGUUUUAGUCCCUCUUUGGACUUCUUUGUUAUCACUUCUGGGGACGGCCGUAUCAAAAUAUGGGAUACAGUGAAGGGUCAGGUACAGACCGAGUUUGCAGAUAUUGUCUCAACUGAAAGCUUGUUUACUAAGCCAGGAGGAGGAGGAGGUCACCUUUCUAUGGAUUAUACUUGCAUGAACUGGUUGUCAUGUCACCCAAAGAAAAAAAGGAAGCUUGGAACUUCAUUAUUAGUCUUAGGUACAGGCAGUGGUGAUGUUUUGGCUCUAGAUGUGUCUGCAGGUCAUCUAAAAUGGAGAUUUACUGAUUGCCAUCCUGGCGGUGUAAACGCCAUCUCAUUCCCUUCACAUGGUUCAUUCAUUUACACGGCUGGUGGUGAUGGACUGGUUUGCAAAAUUGACUCCAUGUCGGGGAACUUACUGCAUAAGUUUAAAGCUUCCACUAAAGCAAUAUCAUCUUUAUCCGUUUCGUCAGAUGGGAAAAUAUUAGCAACAGCAACUUCUCAGUUGAAAAUAUUCAAUUGCUUGGAUGACAAAAAGCUCCAGAAGUUUUCAGGCCACCCUGGAGCUGUUCGGUGUAUGGUUUUCUCUGAAGAUGGAAUACAUGUUCUUUCUUCUGCUGUUGGUGACCGACAUGUAGCAGUUUGGAAGUUAGACGGUACCAAAAAGAAAUCAGCAUGCUGCUUGCUUGCAAUGGAUCACCCUGCUAUCUUUUUGGAUAGUUACUGCAUUAAAUAUGGAGAUGAAAAUGAUACAAGUUUAGGUGUUUUGGCCAUUUCAGAAAUUGGUGUUUGCUACUUUUGGCAUGGAAAGAACUUUGAGGAAUUGCAUAAUGGGAAGCCCACAAAAAUACGCGCAUCUUUAGAUGAGAAAAUACUAAAGAAACAUAAAGAAGCCGUGCAUAGUAUUUUUUCAGCAAAAUUGCAAUCUAUUGGCACAUUUGGUUCCGGUCAUAUGUUUGUUGCAUAUGGCUUGUUGAUAAAACCAUCAUUUGAAAAAGUUAUGGUGCAUCCUGGAGUGGAUAUCAGAUUAAAAAGUUCACUUGACGGGAUCCUUCUACCCUUCAGUCAAUCUCGCAAAUCUAAACAAGCAUCCAACACUCAGAGUCAGAUUACUGCUCUAGAUCGUGCAAAUGCAGAGGGCGCCUUACUUCCUUUGCCUAAGAUUCUUGAUCAGGUUGGCCUGGAGACUGGUAUUAAGCCCACAGUUAGCAAAGAUGUCAUUGGUAAACAAGGUGAAGAUGAGGUCACACUUUGCAUGGAGGACCAGUUAAGAUCCAUAGGUAUAAUUAGCAGUGACUAUGAUCUCUCGCCUAGCUCAAUUCUUGAUGCUAAGAUUUUGAAAGGAAUAAGUGUUGAUGCUAUUAUGCCACAGAAGAAGAUGAAAGCAGCUGUUUUAUCCAUGGAACCACAUGAUGCUUACAACUUAUUGAAGGCCUUGGUGGCUGCAUGGCAGUCCAGAUCAAGCAUGGGAACACAUGUUCUUCCAUGGAUAUGUUGUAUAUUGGUGAACCACAAUGAAUUUGUUACAUCGCAGGAACCACUGACGCCUCUUCUGGAUUCCUUGAACAAGCUUACCAAGUCAAAGGUGGCAGCCCUUAACUCUUUAUUGCAGUUGUCUGGCCGUUUGCAACUCGUAAUGGCACAGAUCGAGAAGGCUGAUAAUAAGAAAGACCUGGCAUUAACACUCGGGGAGCAGAUGAAUGAAAGUGAGGAUGACGAGGUAGAUGAAGUUAUGUAUGGCAUAGAUGAAGAAUCUCAAACAAGCAGUGACGGGGAUGAGUAGGACUUUUUGUGGCGGUGGUGCAAUCAGACUCAUUUUCGAAGUUGCUUGCUUUGAGUGCUUUGUUUUCUGCUGUGGGUUGACCGAAGUCAUUAGUAUUUAUCGUUGUCCAUGGAACAAUAGUAUGGGAAUAUGGCCAUUUCUUUAUUGCAGAGCACUUACAUAAGGGUCUUGUGUUGCAGCUUUUGCCACCAUUCUCGUGCCAAUGAAAUAUCGGCCUGGGACCCUUUAGUAGCUUUGUGGUUCUAACAGAAUUGAUUUAAUACGCCACUCUGAAUCUAGUCGCUACAGGUAGACAGUUGCUGUCUCAAAGGUUCCUCUCUCCUCAGCUGGAAUUGUUUGGUUGUGACAGCGGGUUAACACAACUCUUAAGGGGUGACUCUUCCAGCAUUUUACUGAAAGCAUUGUUGAUGGUGAAGCGUGUACCUUAUUUUGUGCGACUUGCUUAGUAGCAUGCAAGGCAAUACCAUCUUUCCAUUUUCACUGGCUUAGAGUUCUCUUUUCUCAUUUUUGCUUGUUGAGAAUAUUCAUUAUUAACUAGGGGCAAAUAGCUUCCUGGAACCUUCCCGUAUUUAUCUUUAUCUCUUCACGAACUGGGAGGAAAUAAUAGACUUUAUUAUUCUUUAUUCAGUCACUGUUAAAUUCAAUGAUUUCCUCAUUAUCACAUUUAUCUCCUUUUCCAA